rnacentral:rRNA from 1 species
GACGAACGCUGGCGGCGUGCUUAACACAUGCAAGUCGAACGAUGAAGCCGGAGCUUGCUCCGGUGGAUUAGUGGCGAACGGGUGAGUAACACGUGAGCAAUCUGCCCUUGACUCUGGGAUAACUGCGGGAAACUGUAGCUAAUACCGGAUACGACACAUUGGGGCAUCCCAGGGUGUGGAAAGAAUUUCGGUCAAGGAUGCGCUCGCGGCCCAUCAGCUAGUUGGUGAGGUAAUGGCUCACCAAGGCGACGACGGGUAGCCGGCCUGAGAGGGUGACCGGCCACACUGGAACUGAGACACGGUCCAGACUCCUACGGGAGGCAGCAGUGGGGAAUAUUGCACAAUGGGCGAAAGCCUGAUGCAGCAACGCCGCGUGAGGGAUGAAGGCCUUCGGGUUGUAAACCUCUUUUAGCAGGGAAGAAGCGAAAGUGACGGUACCUGCAGAAAAAGCACCGGCUAACUACGUGCCAGCAGCCGCCGUAAUAC